UCUGAUCUCUGAACCUGACUACCUUGUCCCUGCAGUCCAAGGUAGCACCAUGGGUAGAUAGCCAAUCCAUCCCUAGAAUGACGUCAAAGUCUGUCAAAUCUAGAACCACAAGGUCGGCGGAGAGGCAUCUUCCCUCAAUAAAAACUGGACUGUACUGGCAGACUGACACUGCCACUGACGGGUCACACUUGGGUCCACUGACCCAUAGGGGACACUCUAACCCAGAGACUAUCAGACCCAACCUCUCAACGGCUCUCGGAGCAAUAAAUGAAUGAGAUGCACCUGGGUCCAUUAA
rnacentral:lncRNA from 1 species